rnacentral:rRNA from 1 species
GGUGAACGCUGGCGGCGUGCCUAAUACAUGCAAGUCGAGCGAACAGACGAGGAGCUUGCUCCUCUGACGUUAGCGGCGGACGGGUGAGUAACACGUGGAUAACCUGCCUAUAAGACUGGGAUAACUUCGGGAAACCGGAGCUAAUACCGGAUAAUAUAUUGAACCGCAUGGUUCAAUAGUGAAAGACGGUUUUGCUGUCACUUAUAGAUGGAUCCGCGCCGCAUUAGCUAGUUGGUAAGGUAACGGCUUACCAAGGCAACGAUGCGUAGCCGACCUGAGAGGGUGAUCGGCCACACUGGAACUGAGACACGGUCCAGACUCCUACGGGAGGCAGCAGUAGGGAAUCUUCCGCAAUGGGCGAAAGCCUGACGGAGCAACGCCGCGUGAGUGAUGAAGGUCUUCGGAUCGUAAAACUCUGUUAUUAGGGAAGAACAAAUGUGUAAGUAACUAUGCACGUCCUGACGGUACCUAAUCAGAAAGCCACGGCUAACUACGUG